UAGGAUGCCGCAUGGAAGCCGAAGCCAGACUUCCCGGGUGACUCCUCCGGCCAGCCGGGCCCCUCAGGUGAGGGCUGCUCCCCGAAGAGCACCUGCAGCUCAGUCUCCAGCAGCAGCUGCACCAUCUGCAGUUGGCUCACCUGCCGCUGUGCCCCGACAGCCAGGCCUGAUGGCCCAGAUGGCUACCACCACUGCCGGUGUGGCUGUGGGCUCUGCAGUGGGGCACACCCUGGGUCACACCAUCACUGGGGGCUUCAGCGGAGGUGGUAGUGCUGAGCCCACAAAGCCUGACCUCACUUACCAGGUGCCUCAGGGAGCCCAGCUGCAGAACCAGCAGUCUUUUGGACCUUGCUCUCUAGAGAUCAAGCAGUUUCUGGAGUGUGCUCAGAACCAGAGUGAUGUCAAGCUCUGUGAGGGCUUCAAUGAGGUGCUGCGGCAGUGCAGGAUUGCAAAUGGUUUAAUCUAAUCAAGAAAAUCAAGCUGAAGAGAUGUAACAUUGGUUCUGUAUAACUGAUAGUACAAGUGUGGACCGUUAUAUUUCUAACAGCUCCGUUGCUUUGGAAUGGCCAUGAAAGAGAUCUAACUAUGGAUGGUUACUGAGGCUUGUAUGUAGUGUUGGUUACUGGGCACGUGUUUGGCCUUCUUGGACUGUGUUGUGAUUGUGAGUUAAAAAAAUAAAUAAAUUGGUUAUUCUGAAAAAAAAAA